rnacentral:lncRNA from 1 species
AAAACAAAACAAAACAAAACAAAACAAAACAAAACAAAACAGAACAGAACAUGAGCAUUCUCCUAGGCCACUCUGUUGUCAUUUUUUAUUUUCUUUAUUAUCUGGAACUAAGGCCUCUGAUUUCAGAUUGUCUGACAUCAUUUGCAUAGUACUUGGGACUGGAAAGGAAAUCCUAUAUAUGAAGCAACCUAGAAAAGUGCUACAAUUGUCCUGAAAAAUAUGAGAAUAUUUUUUUUCUAGUUUAAUAAUGUAAGAAUAAAACUAGAAAAAUUUCCAGUUUUUACCAGUGAGCAUUAAACCAUUGUUCUGAACCUAUCAUGAGAUGAGUUGUGUCUUCAUAAAUAUAUGUUGCAACUCUAAUCCCUGGAGCCUGGGAAUAUGGUCUUAUCCAGGAUGUGCAUCUUAACAAGUGGAGAAUUACUAAGGUCAGACUGAAUAAAUGUCCUAACACAGUGAUGAAUGCCCUUAGAAGAGGGGAGUCCAGACCACAAGGCCCCAAGCUCAGAUGGUCUUGUGAAGAUGUUAAGUGAUGAAUCAAAUGGGCCACCAUAAGCCAAUGACAGCUUAGUACUGCUGGUAGAUACAACACAUGGCAAGAAAAGGGGAUGAUCUUCUGAAAGUCACUAGCAUCAGAACAGCUUGCCAACUCUGCGAUUUUAGACUGCCAGUUUCCAGAAAUGUGAUGUGAGGAGUUCUGUUUCUUUAAAACAUCCAGCUCGUUGUCAUUUGAUAUAACAACUAUCGUAAUAAACCCAUCAUUAAAGUUUCCCACAUAUGUUUGUCCCCUUUGUCUAUUUUUCUUGCGUUGACAGUUGAUGGGCUAUCUCCUAGAGAGUAAGAGAAACCUCAUCAUAGUAUAAAAAGAAGGAAGUGACUUACCACAGGUCCCCGGCCAGUACUGCUUAGGUAAUGGAGGAGACCUUUAGCAUGGUAGAUGGUUGGUUGGAGAUGAGCUUGGGGAGAGAGCCACUGUCUGUUGAGAUCCUCGCCUCUCAGUGAGCAUCUGUGACUGCAGGAAAAGACAAUAAGCAAAGAAACACACAUUUAGACAAGAAAUGGCUUCAUAAAAUAAAACCCAAGCUGACAAACAAUUAAACUAAUGAAUCCAACUUUGCUCUGACUUCUGCCACCAGCUCCAGAUGUCCAGGAAGCUGCAGAUCUGUACUAGAAGAGUAUGGAGUGGCCUAGUUAUCUGCAGCUGUGGGAACUAGAAACUGCAUUUGACUUAAUACAAGGUUAAUAGUGUUCUAAAACAAAAUUUGGGAAACAUGGUUUCCUACUGUAUGUACCCAUUUAAAACAAACAAACAAACAAACAAACAAAAAGAAAAAAGAAAGACAAUAUAUGACUCCCCAGGCCCUUUAGUUCUACAAAUAACUAAUUUGACCUCAAGAUAGCAUACACAAUAUAAUGAAAUACAAUAUUUCUGGAUAGCCCAAGAGCAUUAUAAAACUUAAUAUUAUUAUUACACUUCAGUGAAGAAACAAGUGACCUAAGGUAUAAAACUAAAUAUUUACACCUAGGACUCUUUGCCUCUAGCUCACACAUCCCUUCUUAGGGAAUACUUAAAAACUGCC